UUACCUACCUUGGUGUAACUUUGGAUUGUCGCCUUUGUUGGAAAGGACAAAUUGACCGCGUGUGUGGCUCAGCUAGAUCAAAACUGGACAGAAUGGACUGGCUUCUUCGACCAGGUAGCGGUCUUACCCUUCGGGCCAUUGUCCUCCCCACGUUAAAUAGGGGAAUAACUUGCUGAGGCACAGCCUGUGAUUAAUCUCUUAAAAGGGACACGGGAGUGCCGACGGUUGCGGUUUGUAGCUUUUCAAAUCGAUACAGAGAUCGCUUGCUGGAUCACACGAACCGUCUGGCUAGACGUCUUGCUACACCAUUGGGUCGACGACGUUUCCGCAGACGGCACCCAGCGGACCUGUGGAUUAUUGGCCGUGACAGACACGGGCGCCUCUUAUAACAACACAAGAACACUGACAUGCUCUUACCUGCCCUGCACUGAACACCCGAAUAUUUGGGAUCUUUGAACAUUCUAAGCAUGUGGCGUUAAAAUAAAAAAUUAUUUAAUUAUCAUAAGCGUUCAGCAAAAAAAAAACUUGCUGAAUACGCCCAAUAACACCAAAAAUCUACCAAAAACUUAUGA